UGGGGAAUCAUAGACAAUGGGCGCAAGCCUGAUCUUGCCAUGCCGCGUGGUCGAUGAAGGCCUUAGGGUUGUAAAGACCUUUCACCGGUGACGAUAAUGACGGUAGCCGGAGAAGAAGCCCCGGCUAACUCCGUGCCAGCAGCCGCGGUAAUACGGAGGGGGCUAGCGUUGUUCGGAAUUACUGGGCGUAAAGCGCACGUAGGCGGGCAUUUAAGUCGGGGGUGAAAUCCCGGGGCUCAACCCCGGAAUGGCCUUCGAUACUGGGUGCCUUGAGAACGGGAGAGGUGAGUGGAAUGGCGAGUGUAGAGGUGAAAUUCGUAGAUAUUCGCCGGAACACCAGUGGCGAAGGCGGCUCACUGGCCCGUUUCUGACGCUGAGGUGCGAAAGCGUGGGGAGCAAACAGGAUUAGAUACCCCCGUAGUCC
rnacentral:rRNA from 1 species